AGAGUUUGAUCAUGGCUCAGAUUGAACGCUGGCGGCAGGCUUAACACAUGCAAGUCGAGCGGUAACAGAAAUAGCUUGCUAUUUGCUGACGAGCGGCGGACGGGUGAGUAAUGCUUGGGAAUAUGCCUUAUGGUGGGGGACAACAGUUGGAAACGACUGCUAAUACCGCAUAAUGUCUACGGACCAAAGGGGGGGAUCUUCGGACCUCUUGCCAUUUGAUUAACCCAAGUGAGAUUAGCUAGUUGGUAAGGUAAUGGCUUACCAAGGCGACGAUCUCUAGCUGGUUUGAGAGGAUGAUCAGCCACACUGGGACUGAGACACGGCCCAGACUCCUACGGGAGGCAGCAGUGGGGAAUAUUGCACAAUGGGGGAAACCCUGAUGCAGCCAUGCCGCGUGUGUGAAGAAGGCCUUCGGGUUGUAAAGCACUUUCAGUUGUGAGGAAAGGUGUGUAGUUAAUAGCUGCAUACUGUGACGUUAACAACAGAAGAAGCACCGGCUAACUUCGUGCCAGCAGCCGCGGUAAUACGAGGGGUGCAAGCGUUAAUCGGAAUUACUGGGCGUAAGGCGUUCGUAGGCGGUCGAAUAAGCAAGAUGUGAAAGCCCAGGGCUCAACCUUGGAACUGCAUUUUGAACUGUUCGACUAGAGUACUGUAGAGGGGGGUAGAAUUUCA
rnacentral:rRNA from 1 species